rnacentral:pre_miRNA from 1 species
AAAGUACUCCCUCCGUCCCAAAAUUCUUGUCUUAGACUUGUCUAGACACGGAUGUAUCAAGUCACAUUUUAGUAUUAGAUACAUCCGUAUCUAGACAAAUCUAAGACAAGAAAUUUGGGAUAGAGGGAGUAGUUG